rnacentral:rRNA from 1 species
UAAUACAUCGGAACGUGUCCCGUAGUGGGGGAGUAGCCCGGCCGAAAGCCGGAUUAAUACCGCAUAUGCUCUACGGAGGAAAGUGGGGGACGUCGCAAGGGCCUCACGCUAUGGGAGCGGCCGAUGUCCGAUUAGCUUGUUGGCGGGGUAAUGGCCCACCAAGGCGACGAUCGGUAGCUGGUCUGAGAGGAUGAUCAGCCACACUGGGACUGAGACACGGCCCAG